GUCAGCAGCCAUAUCACCCUGCAGCCCAAGACUGGUUGCCCAAUGAAGCUAAGCAGGGUUGAGCCUGGUCAGUACCUGGAUGGGAGACCUCCUGGGAAAACUAGGUUGCUGCUGGAA
ensembl:rRNA 5S_rRNA 5S ribosomal RNA